GAUGAACGCUGGCGGCGUGCCUAAUACAUGCAAGUCGAGCGAACAGACGAGGAGCUUGCUCCUCUGACGUUAGCGGCGGACGGGUGAGUAACACGUGGAUAACCUACCUAUAAGACUGGGAUAACUUCGGGAAACCGGAGCUAAUACCGGAUAACAUGUUGAACCGCAUGGUUCAACAGUGAAAGACGGUCUUGCUGUCACUUAUAGAUGGAUCCGCGCCGCAUUAGCUAGUUGGUAAGGUAACGGCUUACCAAGGCAACGAUGCGUAGCCGACCUGAGAGGGUGAUCGGCCACACUGGAACUGAGACACGGUCCAGACUCCUACGGGAGGCAGCAGUAGGGAAUCUUCCGCAAUGGGCGCAAGCCUGACGGAGCCACGCCGCGUGAGUGAAGAAGGUCUUCGGAUCGUAAAACGCUGUUAUUAGGGAAGAACAAAUGUGUAAGUAACUAUGCACGUCUUGACGGUACCUAAUCAGAAAGCCACGGCUAACUACGUG
rnacentral:rRNA from 1 species